UNUCAGGAUCGCACCCUUUGCUCUUGACUAU
rnacentral:piRNA from 1 species